AUAUGAUCACUCUGAUGAAGUGUCAGGUUUACUGACACGAAACGCGUUAGAUGUGAAUCCCCCUCCUCAGCUAUGUUAAAGCGCUCAAUAAAGCCAUAUAUUUGAUACUAACAAGCCAGACUCCGAUAAUGCUUUGAACAGCGCUAUACAUCGAUGACAGAGAGUGUGUGAGUAGAAGCCGGCUGGAAGGAGCCAAUUCAUCGCGAGAGCAGCAGUUCAGCAGGAGCUGGCGUGCAAGGGCAGAGCUCAGCCAUUAAUCACAUCGUAUUUCUUCGUUAGAAAAUCAGUAAAGCAGAGUAAGUCAGGGCACUGAGGUUGGCAGAAUAUCAUAU